UACGAAGGGUGCAAACGUUGCUCGGAAUUAUUGGGCGUAAAGCGCACGUAGGCGGCUUUUCAAGUCGGAUGUGAAAUCCCUCGGCUUAACCAAGGAAGUGCAUCCGAAACUGGAAAGCUUGAGUACUUAAGAGGAUCGCGGAAUUCCCGGUGUAGAGGUGAAAUUCGUAGAUAUCGGGAGGAACACCAGUGGCGAAGGCGGCGAUCUGGGAAGAUACUGACGCUGAGGUGCGAAAGCGUGGGGAGCAAACAGG
rnacentral:rRNA from 1 species